UGGGGAAUAUUGCACAAUGGGGGAAACCCUGAUGCAGCGACGCCGCGUGAGCGAAGAAGUAUUUCGGUAUGUAAAGCUCUAUCAGCAGGGAAGAUCAUGACGGUACCUGACUAAGAAGCCCCGGCUAACUACGUGCCAGCAGCCGCGGUAAUACGUAGGGGGCAAGCGUUAUCCGGAUUUACUGGGUGUAAAGGGAGCGUAGACGGCGAAGCAAGUCUGGUGUGAAACCCUGGGGCUCAACCUCGGGCCUGCAUUGGAAACUGUUUUGCUUGAGUGCCGGAGAGGUAAGCGGAAUUCCUAGUGUAGCGGUGAAAUGCGUAGAUAUUAGGAGGAACACCAGUGGCGAAGGCGGCUUACUGGACGGCAACUGACGUUGAGGCUCGAAAGCGUGGGGAGCAAACA
rnacentral:rRNA from 1 species